rnacentral:rRNA from 1 species
UACGUAGGGACCAAGCGUUGUCCGGAAUCAUUGGGCGUAAAGAGCGUGUAGGCGGUUAGGUAGGUCCGUUGUGAAAACUCGAGGCUCAACCUCGAGACGCCGAUGGAAACCAUCUAACUAGAGUCCGGAAGAGGAGAGUGGAAUUCCUGGUGUAGCGGUGAAAUGCGCAGAUAUCAGGAAGAACACCCGUGGCUAAGGCGGCUCUCUAGUACGGUACUGACGCUGAGACGCGAAAGCGUGGGGAGCGAACAGG